rfam:Ovis aries breed Texel chromosome 2, whole genome shotgun sequence.
UCCCUGAUGGCUCAGAGGGUAAAGAACCUGCCUGAAAUUCAGGAGACUCAGGUUCAAUCCCUGGGUUGGGAA